rnacentral:lncRNA from 1 species
CCUGAGUCAAAAGAUGGUUUUUCAUGGGAUACCUGGUUUUUCAUGGGUUUUUCAUGGGAUAACUCGGUUGAGCGCCUGACUUUGGCUCAGGUCAUAAUCUCAUGGUUCUUGAGUUCAAGCCUUGCGUCGGGCUUUGUGCUGACAGCUUGGAGCCUGGAGCCAACUUUGGAUUCUGUGUGUGUGUAUCUCUCUCUCUGUCCCUCCCCCCCCCCCAUCUCAAAUAAAUAAACAUUAAAAAAAAUCCAAAUUUAUAUCCGGUUUAAAUUGAUUUCGAAGGACUAUCAAAGGAAGCUUGUAUUGAAACAAGGACUCAAGAGCCAGUCUAAGGGCAGCAUGGAUGGCUCAGAGGUUAGACCUACUGAACUAGGUUGUGGGGAUUAGAGGGAGAGGAUAAUGUGGGCUCAUAGGAACCUCAAUUCUGUGAUUAUUUUUAUUUAGCAACAUCUGGAAGAGCCAAGUCCUUCUCCACAGGCCAUAUGUAUCCACAAGGAAAUGCCAGAGCUGUCCAUCACUGGGGCCUCUCCCUGCUCACCAGCCAAGGUUGCUACCAAGAGUCCUCAAUCUGCUAAGAGUAGGAUUGGGUUUGGGCUUCCAGGCCAUGCCCGCUGAAACAUGUAAGAAACCAGCUACUGUAUGCGAUGCGGUGGUUCUAAAGGCUUACGACUGCUUUUUCACAAACCGCUGUCCUCAUUUAGCCACAGUCCAUGGAGAUGGAGAAGGCUCUAAAAGUUCCAGAAUCAUCCUAACUCUCCAAAGAAGACUGGCAUUUGCUAGUUUGAAACUCUGCAAUGGAGAUGGUCCAAUGACUUGAUUGCCUUUGUAGACUACAGUGAAAUUUCCUCUUUGCUCCUUGGGUCUAAGUAAAUGUCAGAAAUACUGAAAGGUUGGAAGUGAAUGGUUCUAUCAACAAAUCCAUACUGAUUGGAUGUAGUGGCAUAAAAUGAACUCAGAAACCCAUCACCCUCCAGGUAUGCUGCUCUGCUUCUAUCAUUUGUGACCUAUGUUGGUGCUUUUGGUGUUCACUGGCUUCUUCAAUUGUCAUAUAGCUAUAAGUACAAAUAGGGGCCUUAGCCAUUGUUUACUCCUGCCCUGGAAGGUCACAUAUAUGUGUCUAAAGGUUCUCUGCUAGGCAAACAUUAUGAUAAUUAUGAUAAGGAGUCUUUUUUCCCAGUAUCAAAAAAUGAUGUCUCCCUUCAAAAACAAAUGAAAACUCAAACACAGGGUUUUCUGAAAUUCACCCUCUCGAUGAACCCUCAGGUAAUUUGACCAUUCCUUUCUUUACAUCUCUGAGGUCACAAAGAAGAGGACAGUCAACGUUAAACUUCUGUUCUGACAAGAAGUUGAAAUAUAGUGGCUAAGUUCAGGGAUCCUGAGGCUGGAAUGCUUGGAUCCAAAUGUUUGACUCUGCCUCCAACUAGCUGUGUGACCUUGGAAAGUUACUUAACUUUUCUGUGCAUCAGUGUUCUCAUAUAUAAAAUGUGGAUGAUAAGAAUAGUACCAAUUCCAUCAUUUGCCUAUGAAGACUAAAUGAACAAAAACAUACACAGCAUUUAGAAAGGAGCCUGGCACAAGAUGAGUAUUCAAAGUUAGCUGUCAUUGAUUAUAGGUUUUAUUGCAUUGCGAAGCCUCUAAUCAUCCUGACUUUUCUCUGUAAUGUGUCUGCUCAGACUUAUACCUGUGGGUCCCUAUAAUAAACCAUGUACUUAAGAUUAGUCUGAGAAUUCU